UAGGGAAUCUUCCACAAUGGGCGAAAGCCUGAUGGAGCAACGCCGCGUGUGUGAUGAAGGGUUUCGGCUCGUAAAACACUGUUGUAAGAGAAGAAUGACAUUGAGAGUAACUGUUCAAUGUGUGACGGUAUCUUACCAGAAAGGAACGGCUAAAAUACGUGCUAG
rnacentral:rRNA from 1 species